GGGACGGACGAGUGCGCCAGGCCAAGAACGUGGCCGAUCUCGUGCGUGGCCACCGACUCGAGGUCCACGGCGCCGGCGUCCGCGUCGGCCAUGUCUCCGACGGCCCAGCGCUCGGCGGCGUCGAGGUGCAGCUGGCCGCUGGGCGGGGAGAAGGCGUGGCCGAGCACGCCGAGGGGCCCGUCGAAGGGCUCGCCGUCGCCGUGGUCGCCGGCGAGGAACCCCACGCGCACGUCCGCCAUGUUGUAGUCGCGCGUCUCGCGGAACCGCACCGGGAUGACGCGCGCCCAGCGCGCGAAGGCGCGGCGGAAGGCCCUGCGCACGGCCUUGCGCGGGAGGGGGAGCGGCUGGUAGGGCGGCGAGGAGGAGACGACGGCGUAGGUGAGCAGGAAGUGGCCCGGCUGGCGCGCCCAGCGCGGCUGGCCCUCGAAGAAGGCGAAGCGGGCGGUGGCGUUCGGUUGGAGGUGCAGGUCCGGGACGCCGCAGCGCGGGGUGGCGAGGAGGUCGAGGGUGCGGUUGUCGAGGCGGCCGGUGACGGGGAGGCCGAGGGUGGACUGGUAGAGCCUCACCACGAGCUGGCCGUCGGCGUCGUCAGGGACGGACGCGUAGCCGAAGCGCGCCAGGUAGCGCCUGAGGCCGUCGGUGACGUCGCCGGCCUGGACCUGGAGCAUGUCGGCGAGCGAGGUGGAAUAGUUGGCGCCGGCAUGGAAAAGGAGGUGCCGGGAGCAGCAGCGGCAGCAUGGAGGGAACAGGAGGAGGAGGAGGAGGAAGAGGAAGGGGAGAGGGGAGGAGGAGGACAUGGGCGCGCGCGCAUGCUAUGCGUGUAU
rnacentral:rRNA from 1 species